rnacentral:lncRNA from 1 species
CAUAUAUGAAAAUCCUAUUAAAAUCAUUAUUAUAGAGUAUAUAUUUUCUUGACUUUACAAGAAUAAUGGCGUAUACAUAAGUAUUCGAGAGAAAAGCUCUUACACUCUUUUGAUACUAGAGUUUAUAUGUAUGAUUAAUGCCACAUGCUUUUAUAAACUCUUAAGCAUAUAUAUAUAUAUAUAUAUAUAAAUACUCACUAUAUAUUUGUGUAGUCUUACAAGAGCAACAAGGCAAUAACUAAAACAAAACCCUUUUAUAACGAACAGUUGUCCAAGCAGACCCCCAAAGAUAGGAAUAAAUAAUAUUACAGCAACUUUACUUUAAGACGGUGUCUUUUAAUUUAGGCCUUUAAGCAGCAGAGGGUGCAGGAAUGUAGGAAACGGCAGGGUCAGGCAGUGAAGCCAUGAUUGAUGGCUUUGAUGAAAACGUUUGGUCUGCCUCUGGAACUGGGUUUUGAUCUGCAUUCAUAUCCAGAGACUCAUCGUUGUAAAUGUCCCACCAUUUUGCCACUAGCAUCUUGACGUCCUCUCUGUCCAUGUUCGCCUCCUUUCCUGUGUACCUCCAUGGUUUUGAUCCCUAUUUGAUUUCCACAAGAUAACAACAAAUUAAUGCAGACAAAGGUUAUUUAUCAAGUUGAAAUUUCAGUACAAUUAAUUAAUUGUGGUUAUUGUUAGAUAAUUAAUUCAGUGGCAUACAAUAUAUACUUAAAUUAAUUUGUAUAAGUAAUACAGCUGAUGAAUUUGAAGGUAAGACAACACUUACAGCUGCACAAUAGUGGACCACCUUUAUCUUGUCAAGCUCCACAUUCUCUGGGUGGCGCCAUAACAUUGCAAGAACCAGGUUGUAUACGAGAGGGAUGGGUUUGUACACUUUUUGGAAAAACAUAUUCAAGAAAUCCUG